rnacentral:rRNA from 1 species
GAAGAAGUGAAUUAAGGGCAUUUGGUGGAUGCCUUGGCAUGCACAGGCGAAGAAGGACGUGAUACGCUGCGAAAAGCCGUGGGGAGCUGCGAAUAAGCUUUGAUCCAUGGAUCUCCGAAUGGGGCAACCCACCUUAAAUGCUUGGAAAAUCCAAACCGUCUUUGACGGCUUGGGUUUCCAAGCAUUGUGAUAAGGUAUCUUACUUUCGAAUACAUAGGGGUAAGAAGCGAACGC